rnacentral:misc_RNA from 1 species
GAUGAAGAACGUAGCGAAAUGCGAUAAGUAAUGUGAAUUGCAGAAUUCAGUGAAUCAUCGAAUCUUUGAACGCACAUUGCGCCCGCCAGUAUUCUGGCGGGCAUGCCUGUUCGAGCGUCAUUACAACCCUCAGGCCCCCGGGCCUGGCGUUGGGGAUCGGCGGAGCCCCCCGUGGGCACACGCCGUCCCCCAAAUACAGUGGCGGUCCCGCCGCAGCUUCCAUCGCGUAGUAGCUAACACCUCGCGACUGGAGAGCGGCGCGGCCACGCCGUAAAACACCCAACUCUUCUGAAGUUGACCUCGAAUCAGGUAGGACUACCCGCUGAACUUAAGCAUAUCAUAAGCGGAGGA